AUUCUAUAAAGCAAUACAUUUUUGAGAGCCCACAGCAAUUCUCUAUCCUACGUGGCGCUCUCAAAAGUCUCUAUUUUGAUUUAUCUAAUCCUGUAUUAUUUAUUUUACAUCUCAAUUCUCAAGGUCUGCUAGAAAAUCAAUUCUGAUAUUCAAUCAUCCGUUACAAAUUAGAGGCGCAAUAGAUCUGCAAAUUCUUCUCAAAUUUCUCUCCAUCCCUCUGCAAAUUUCAUGCUCAAUCACCGUUACAAAACUUAGAUUAGCAAUUGAUCUGCAAAUAUUCUCAAAUCCCUCUCCAUCCGUCUGCAAUCACCGUACUCAAAUCUCAUCUUCCGAUCAUUCUUGAAUCUCUCCAUCCAUCUGCAAAUCGUUCUGAAAUCCCAUCUCCCGCCGUCUACAAAUCCUUAUCACAACAAUUGAUAUGCUAAUCUCUAUAUACCGGGUCUCCCACCACUGAUACAUCAAAAUUGGCAGGAUUUGGUGCUCCAUCUCCCCGCCUGAUUCCGAACUAUUUUUAAGAUAUCGGCGGCGGAAAGACUAGAAAUCGCCCACCCCUUGCUCUAUCUCACUCGGUUGUCGGGCUAGAAAUCGCCAUCACCGCCGAUGCCCAACUUCUCCGAUCUCCUCCCAUUUUCACACUGGAGUGGCGCCGAGAAGAAGAAACUCUUCGCGUCCAUCAUCAGCUCCUAUCUCCGUUGGAAAUUGUGAAGUGAUAGUGCAAGCGAAGAAUUUCACUUCUGAAUCAAAUGGUGAUAGUUUUCAAAUCUCUAUUUCCAAAACUGCCAAAAUCAGUAUUUCAGUGAUCGGAAAAGCGAAUGAACACGACAAUGGUGGGGGCGGAGGACAUGAGAAAUCUGGUGUUUGUUUUAGUUCCAUAUGGGCUUUUCUUUUCGAAUAUUUGAUUUAGAUUAGUUUAACAUUGCCAUACACGUGAAGCAUAUUAUUUUCUUGAUUGGUUAUAUAGGUUUAAGCUUUAUUGAAUUGUUAGUGGUGUAAAUCAAAGAUAAUCCGGAGAGGGAGCCUGAAUGAGCUUUCAUCUUUUGCUGAGAAAUAAGAAAGUUGCAUACCUGAGGAUUUAGACCUUGCAUCUGAUUUAUGAUUCCAUCCUGUACAUAAAAGACAGAAUAUUAGUAUCUCAAAUUACUUUCGAAAGUACAAGGAAAAAAAUGGUCAAGACUAUGGAAGUUUAGGGAAAUGGGAACUGGCAGUUUGCAUGCUACUUGGUAAAACCGGGGCAUAUCAGAGGUGGUACAUAUCAUGGCGUAAAGAAAAACUAAAAAAAUUAGGAUAAAUAUGAGCUUGAAUGAAAAGAUAGCAGACCUCUAAUAUCCCUGGCUUUAUCUUUUGAUUAUAUAUAGUUAUGUUAUAGAUGACUUUUUCAUUAUUUCUUUUUCUUUCUCUGUACCUAUUUAACUACACUCUCCAACAUUUUCAGUUUCCGGUUAGUUUGAGUAUCGUACUUUCUUCUUGCCUAAUUCAGUUUGGUGUAAGCUUUCUAAUUCGAUUCCAAUUUUAUGUGUGCUCAUCUAUUUGUUUAUGGUUUGCCACUAACUAAGAUAACCAUGAUUUAAGUAUAAGCAAUUAGGUUUGUAUGUCAACAACUCAUACUCAUUAGGCAGAGUUAUUUCUUAUAUUACCAUCCAGGUUUUUAAAACUUGGUUUGCAUAUCAAACUUAACAGUGUGCUCUUUAUACAUCAAACUUCGAGUAAUUUGUUUUAUGCUCUGUAUGCUUGUAAGAAUUAAAUGAGUUUGUGAUCUAUAGAUGAAUCAGAGGAGGCAUUGAAGCUUUAGGGGAUUCAUUGUUCAAAGCCAACAUCUCGGUGAAAAUAGGAGUAGUAUGGGGGAUAAUAAUGGAAACAAACUCCACAAAUUGCAAAUUUGUAGUCACUAUAGAUUAUUAUCCAUCUUAAAUUGGGGCCAUGAUGUAUGCUGCGCAUUUAGUGUUUUAGGAAGUAAGCAAGCUAUUAUUGAACUGAUCUUAGAUAAAUAGUUUUGUUGAUUUACGAUCCUAAAUGUAUCUGUAUUUUCUUUUUCCCACCUUACCUAUUAGUUCAUGCACAACCAUUAAGAGUGCUGACCUUGUGCAGUUGCAAAAGAGCAGUAAAGAGUCAUUGUUCUAUCGUUGAGAACUAUGCCAUUUGCAUUCAUGUCCUCGUGCAACUUUUCAGCUGUUUUCCAAUCUAGAGCCUUGAAGCAAAGAGAUUUUAUCAGUCAUGAGCUGGGAUUGGACAUCGAAUCACUAUAUAUGGUAGAUUUGUGAAUCUUUGGAGUUACAUUUAACGAGGGAUUCUCUGCUGCUAUCAUCAUAAUCAUACUUCUUGGUCAACUUGGGAGGCUUGGAGUUGGUGCUGGCGGAUAUGAGGAUCCUGGUGUUAAGAAAUUAAGAGGCUGGUUCUCAAAAGUUUGUUCAUGUCCAGUUUGCGCUUAUAACUUCUUUGCUUGGUCUUACUUCUAUCAAAUUUCAAGAGGUCGCGGAAGGUAAAAUUGAAAUUCCAGCAGUCAUUAGUCAGUCCAUCCUGUGCUGCCUCAUUUCGCCUAACAUAUUGACAGCCUUGUCAAAUUUCACCAAACGCCCCUAGCUGCUCGAUUAAUUUGUUAUAGCUUCAGCAGUUAUACAAUCAAAAGAACCACUUUCUUAAUAUGCAAUCAGUUUCAGUUCA